rnacentral:sRNA from 1 species
GCUGCAGCGGCCGCAGCAUUGGCCGCCAUUGGCAGUGAGACAUGGUGACCCAGAUGAGGUGGCAGCUGGCCCUGCUGCGACUGUUGCUGCUGCUGCUGCUGCUGCUGCUGCUGC